AGAACGAACGCUGGCGGCAGGCUUAACACAUGCAAGUCGAACGCGUGUAGCAAUACACGAGUGGCGCACGGGUGAGUAACGCGUGGAUAUCUGCCUUUUGGUUCGGAAUAACCCCGGGAAACUGGGGCUAAUACCGGAUGGUUCCUACGGGAUAAAGAUUUAUCGCCAAAAGAUGAGUCCGCGUACGAUUAGCUAGUUGGUGAGGUAAUGGCUCACCAAGGCGACGAUCGUUAGCUGGUCUGAGAGGACGAGUCAGCCACACUGGGACUGAGACACGGCCCAGACUCCUACGGGAGGCAGCAGUGGGGAAUAUUGGACAAUGGGGGCAACCCUGAUCCAGCAAUGCCGCGUGAGUGAUGAAGGCCUUAGGGUUGUAAAGCUCUUUCGCCCGCGACGAUGAUGACGGUAGCGGGAGAAGAAGCCCCGGCUAACUUCGUGCCAGCAGCCGC
rnacentral:rRNA from 1 species